UUGACUGUCAUCAAUAUUAAACUAAUUCAUACUUUUUGUUUUUCUUACAGAGACAGGAGCCCCCAGGACGAAUGUGGAUUCAGCAGCACAUUUUAAGUUAAGUAUAUUUUUAUUUGAAGUGACCCAUAUAGACUGUCUUCAAUAUUAAACUAAUUUAUACUUUUUGUUUUUCUUACAGAGACAGGAGCCCCCAGGAGCCUGUAGUGGUUGGAGAGAAAGAGAUGACAUGAUUUACGUAUCAAGCAAUUGAAACAUUGUUAUCAGAUGAAGAGACUUCAGAAGCCAAGUUACACAACAAUCUCAAGAUCCAAAAUCGCAAAAAGACAUGGUCUCAAAUAUGGAGUGGGUAAUGUCCAUUUCUUCUGACUCAAAGUAUUGGCAAUUAGUUUAGCCUGAAAAAAUUGAAAGCUUUGUUGACUUUAUUACCUCCUCUGAAGUAAUAAAGGACAUGCCAUUUUGAGAGAAGAUGAUGAAACUCUCAUCAGGAAAAAUUAUUCCAACUCCAAAUGUGAUAUGUUGUAUAGCCCCAGCAGCUAUCGUC